GGGUGCGCAUUGUCAUGGGGGCUCAUGUUCGCGGCCCACGCGUGGGAUCACAACGGCCGCUAGAGAGCAUCAGCAGCCAUGUACUAGGGGUCCCUGGAGGCUGUCAGCCUUGCAACCCCGAAAGAACGUGAGUUGGUGCCUGGUAACAGGCGCCGGUGAGCACUAUCAGGACUCUCAGACACCAGACACCAAACGGCCAUUCUCUGUCCUCCAGGCCCUGUGCCCUUGAGGGAAGGAGGGCCUCCGCAGCAAAAGUCAGCCUCUGCAUUUUUUCCUGGGCCCCUCGCUCCUAAGCCUGUUCCUGGCAGCAAACCCCAUCCCUCUGCUUCAAAGCUUUUACUGACAAGCCAAGAAGAUCUGGGUUUGGUUCCUGGAACGUACAUGGUGGCUCCCCACAACCUGUCACUCCAAUUCCACGCAGUCUUACACCUACUUUUGGCCUUGGCAGACAUCAGGCAGCCAUGAGACGCAAUACGUACAUGCAGAUGAGGCAGCACAGGCCUGGGAUCCCAGCACACAGAAGCCAGAAGCAGGAAUUUCCAACUUUGAGCCACCUCUGAAUUUUGUCCUCAAACUCUGGAGACGGUAUCCUUGCCAGGCUUCAUGACAGAGCUGGAUGUGGAGACAGGAGCUGGCCUGGGCCUCCAGGAUGGGAAGUGAUUUGCUCCAUGGGCUGCCAAUGUGACACCAUGACAGCUGACCCAGGUCGCUGACGAAAGACACAUACUCUGUGUCCCUUCCGGAAGAGGAACUUGACAGAGGUCUGAUUAUACCUGGCAAUAAGACACCAUGGAUAAACACUUGGUGAAUCAACGAAGGAGGAAUGAAUGUGGCUUGGUGGUGCCCAGAACUUCCAUUACAUCUUCCUGAUAGCCUCAGCGCACUGACUUUCUAAGAGGAGAGGGGCCGAGUACAGCAGAGAGGGAAGUUAUGGACCAGGUCCUUUGAGCACCCCUAAGAGCUGAAAAGGUCACUGGACAGGAAUGGUGGCAUUUGCUGCCUCUGCACAUGGCGGUAACUGGAUCAGCAGAGAGCCCCUCGCCAUCCUCCUACAAGGCCUGCGCCAUCCUGAAAUAGCCCAAAUGUAUGUAUGGCAUCCUCUGGAACAGAACAACCCCACAUUUAAACAUUCCUGGUAUCCUGUUUAUGCUUGGUAGUUAUCAACAAGGCAGGUGGGAGCCAUAGACUCAUUCCUGUGAGGGCCCCCGGAUCAACAGCACACAUAUCUUCCGAGGCUGGGGGCUGAGGUCAGUACCCACAUAAGCUGCAGCUUGAUGGAUGGUCUUCAUGCAGCUGAUGCUUGCAAUCAUAAACUGGGCCCAGCUCCAGGAUCCUGACCCCAGCUAUCUCCUUUUAUAGUAAGAAAAAAUGAGGCCAGAAAUGUGGAAAGAGCUGCAUGGGCAGACAGGGAACCAGGUGGACUAGGUACCCAGAAGUCCACGAGGGGAAACUGUUGAUUCUUGAAGUUGAGCUCCAAAAAGAAAAGCAGGCACAGUAAAACUCCCACAUGCCUCCUGGCCACCCAAACAGAGGGUAGUCUGUUGCCUUCAUACUUUGUGGUAGCGGUUGCCUGUGCCUUGUGGAACAUUACCAAAUUCCGGGAGCACUAUGGUCUCCCACGGGUAGACUAUGCCUAA